rnacentral:ncRNA from 1 species
AGUAAUGCGUUGAUGAGGAAAGUAAAUUGAAGAGUUCUUUCAGAGAGAGAUGUGUUUGCUGAGAGCAUCUUAAGAAUAAUUCUUUUGAAGACCACCUCGGAGUGACUCUAAUCCAGUCCGGUGACUCCGUUAUCGUCAUGAAUGAGUGUCCCUAUUAUCUAUUUAUAUAAAUUCUAUACAAUAAAUUAUAUAAAUAGAAGAAUAAGUAGAGAAAUAAAUUAGGGAUAAGAAGGGUGGAACCGCGGAUAAUUAUUCGCCCCUUGU